GCUGGGCAUGGUGGUGCGUGCUGGUAAUCCCAGUAACUUGGGAGGCUGAGGGAGGAGGAUCACAAGUUUGAGGGUAGUCUCAGCAAUUUAGCAAGGCCCUAAGAAACUUUAGUGAGACUCUAUCUCAA
rnacentral:sRNA from 1 species